UACGGAGGGUGCAAGCGUUGUUCGGAAUUACUGGGCGUAAAGGGCGUGUAGGCGGUUUGGCAAGUCAGAUGUGAAAGCCCUGGGCUUAACCCAGGAAGUGCAUUUGAAACUGCCAUACUUGAGUAUGGGAGAGGAGAGUGGAAUUCUCGGUGUAGAGGUGAAAUUCGUAGAUAUUGAGAGGAACACCCGUGGCGAAGGCGACUCUCUGGACCAAUACUGACGCUGAGACGCGAAAGCGUGGGGAGCAAACAGGAUUAGAUACCCGCGUA
rnacentral:rRNA from 1 species